rnacentral:rRNA from 1 species
AUGGCCGACCACCGCGCCUCGGUCAAUUCCCCCGGCGACGCCUCCCCCUGGCCGGCGUCGAUUCUCCUCGCCCAGGAGGCGUACGUCGCCGUCAGCAGGAACCACACCACGGCCACAGCCAAAUCGAGGGUCGACCAUACCGUGGAGGUCACCUUCUGGAUCGCCGACCCACCGGCGGUGUCCUUCUACACGUUCCACUGCUCCAAGCCCCCCAUCUCCGACUCUGAGGACGCCGACUUGGAAGUUCAGCCACACGUGGUUGACGCGGAGGGCCGAUUCGUUCUUAUCCGCACCUCUUUUGCUUCCGGCGACGGCGAGUAUGAAUUCUUCAUCUACAAGGGCGACCCCAGGAUCAAGGAGCUGCUCAACCCAUGUCCUGGGGUCCUUACGAUUGCACCCGACAAGGCCAUGUUGCUCCGAGAUGGCGUGCUGGUGUGGGUCGAUUUGCUGCACGGCAUGUUGGUGUGUGACAUACUUCAAGAACGAGAACCCCUUCGUGCGCGCUACAUCCCAUUGCCUGAGCCAUUGCCUAGAAACAGAGAAGAAAUUUUGAAGCAGUUAAUCCCGGGAGCUGGCGUCAGGCGUAUUCGGGAUGUUGCCUAUGUCGAUGGUCUGAUCAAGUUUGUUGAGAUGGAACACCGCGUCACUGUAACAGAGAUUGUAGAGGUUCCUCCUGAAAAGCCGUCUGACCCCAGGGACAAGACUGUCCUCUAUGAUUCUGACUUGAUCAUGCUCUACAAGCGUAAACAUGUGGACAACAUACCCAAGACGCUGCGCACAAUGAAUGGUUGGAGUGCCAUGACAUGGACUAGGGAGAUUGGGUCUGACUGUUGGCUCAAGGGAGUCAUUGUUGAUGUUGAUGACAUUUUGGUCGAUGACUCCGCGUUUUCGGUCUUACUGUCUGGCCAAAGGAAUGAAUCCGCUGGGAGCUUGACAUUCAAGAACAUGUACUCGGCUUGCUCCAUCCUGAGUACAGAUGGUAAUGAUAUCCUUUACCUCAAGUUAUCCAGGAAAUGGAGUGAUCGAUCUGGAUGGGUGGUUGCUGUUGACCUUGAAGAGAAUACACUGAAAGUGGAAGCACCUGGGGCGCACCCAUUUGGAAGAUAUUCUCCUUUCGCGGCAAACAUUCCUUCCCUGCGCAUUGGUGAACCAUCUAAAAAUGACUCCUGGCUAUUGGCUGAGAAAGCCAACCAUGCACAAGAUUUAGCUCAGAGUACUGUACGGAAUGUUCAUAGCUCACAGGCUUGUCCUGAUCAAAACAAUAUGCCUCCACAACCAUGCUUCAACAGAUGGGAGGCGCCUGGCUACCGUGGGUACUCAUCAUGCCCCCCUCAAAACAAUCCGCCGCUGCCACAAUGUUUCAACAAGUUCACUGGACCCUGCAACCCUGUGUGUGCACCGUCGGCCCCUGCCCCUAACAUACGUAGCUACGACAAUUAUCAUUCGCUGUGGCAGCACCCACUGCUACCGGAGCAGCAGAUGGCACCUAGCAGGGCAUUUGGACCUCAUGUGGCACCCCAUCCAUAG